UGUCCCACAGACCUUUUUCCAUCCCGGGUCGGCGAGCGCAGCUACCAGAGAGGCCACUGGGUUCCUUAGGUAAAUCUGUUUGCAACCCACGUUUGGGACCAGAAUACCCGAUGGCCUGCCUUGUGUCUCCCAUUGGUGGGUCCGGGUGGGGACGGUGAAGUAAAGGUGAAUUGCGGUGCAGAUUACUAACAGAGCAGGGGGUCUCUGUCUGCCACCUGGGGGCUGCCUGCUGGGAGACCCUCCAACUUCAUAGACACGAAGAGUGGAAAAGAACACGCCAGCCCCGGCGGCCGGCUCGGAGAUUAAACCCUGUUGGAAGGUAUGGAUGGUGUAUUUCUUCCAAUUCUGAGAUGUUGAUUUAGCUGUCCCAAACAUCACAUGAUGUGCUUCUCCAUAAUCCUGUACCCAAGUCAUUGCGGAUCUGCUGACAUGACUUUGGAUAUGCUGAGCCAGGGCAAAUAGAUUCUUUUGAAUUAUGCCAGUAGUGAGGAAGAAACAUGAGUACAGCUCUCAAAGUGGAAGAAAAGGUACUGAUUCUGCUCUGAGGACCAGUCCUGCGGAUGUGCAAGUUCAUCAGUGGUAGGACUAAAGUUUCUCCUGUCUUGUCUCUAACUUGAAUACACAUUCCACCCACAUUUUUGAGAGUACAGUAUCCUGAACUUGAAGUGUUUUCAAAUUAAUCUUUACAUUAAAUAAGCUAUGUUAAUUUUACCCACCCCAUAAUUCCCAUCCUUUUCUGCCUACAGUCCUCAGAAUUGUCAUUUACUAUUAUUUUGACCCAAGAAAAAUUUUUACUUAAAAAAUAUCUGUAGUUGGUAAUUUGUAGUAUUCAGAGUCCACGUAAAGUGAUACACAUGAACUCUUGUUGAACAUGAACCAUUACAUUCAAUAAAUCUUUUAAGGUGGUGAUUUGUCA
rnacentral:lncRNA from 1 species